CUCCUUCAACUUGCGGCUCAGAAUUUCGGCUCCCCUCCCAAGAGUCGUAAUUAUACUCUAUACAAAAUACUCCCGCCUUCUUCUUCUUCUUCUUCUUCCCGUUGAAUUCCAGUCAUCUCUUAGGUUUAGCUCCUAUUUUAUCCCAAGAAUUUCUGGGUUGAAGUGCAAAGCCGAUACUUCCCUGUUUUGCUUCUUAUCUGCCCUGCUAAGUUCUCUUCUCGCACAGAAAGGCUGAUGCCUUGAUCCUAGUAUGGACUCGCAGCAGCUAUUCAGUUUCAGUUUGACUGAGUCUGGGCUUCCAUACACGCCAUCUUAUUCCACUAUUCCAGCACUACCCAACAGGCUUCUCGGAUGCUUGAAAUUUGACACAGGAAACUCGCCUAAUUCACCCUUGUCUACUCAAUUUGAUUCUGAUUCUCUCUCUACAUUGAGCGACGGCCAGGAGCAGCACGGCUCUGGGGAGAUUCUUUCUGGUUUCAGCCCUUCUUAUAACUCUUCUCUGGAAACUAAUUAUUACUUAAAGAGGUCAGUCUCACCGGUGGACCGUGUCCAAGACAGUCUGCAUCCGUAUUUUGCUAGGAGGUCUCUUGCACAGGAUGCAAGUUCUAGCCAAAAGAUCAGGCACGCAUUACUGGAGUUAGAGUCCGCUCUGAUGGCCCCUAUUGAUGGUGAUGUAGUUAUCACAUCGAAUGCUUCCUUGAGUGGCAAUAACAGACCUACAACUUCUGGCCAAAGAUACGGGACUUGGAGCCAUGAGAGCCAAGGGUCACAAUAUAUUCAAAGCCAGCCAUCUCUUGUUUCUAGCAUUAGGCAGUCAAAUGAAGUUGCACAUGUAGAUAACCGUCACAGACUGAUGGAGGAACCAUGGCUCCAGGGCUUCCCACCUAGCAAUUUAAAGGAAUUGUUGAUCGCUUGCGCCAAAUCCCUCUCUGAAUGCAACAUAAAAGUUUUUGAUGAGUUGAUUGAAAGCGCUAGAAGUGCCGUGUCCAUCUCUGGUGAGCCAAUCCAGCGGCUCGGUGCUUAUAUGGUAGAAGGGCUUGUUGCUAGGAAGGAGGCAUCAGGGAAUAGCAUAUAUCACGCACUCAGGUGCCGAGAACCUGAAGGCAAAGACCUGCUCUCUUACAUGCACAUGCUGUAUGAAAUUUGCCCAUACUUUAAAUUUGGUUACAUGGCUGCAAAUGGAGCCAUAGCUGAAGCUUGCAGAAAUGAAGACCGCAUUCACAUCAUAGACUUUCAGAUUGCUCAGGGAGUUCAGUGGGAGACACUCCUCCAAGCUCUUGCCGCAAGGCCAUGUGGGGCACCCCAUGUCCGGAUCACCGGAAUCGAUGAUCCUGUGUCUCGAUAUGCACGUGGUGACGACAUAGAUGCAGUUGGGAAGAGAUUGACCUCAAUAUCAAAGAAAUAUGGCAUCCCAGUUGAGUUUCAUGGAGUGCCUGUGUUUGCGCCUGAAGUAAAAAGGGACAUGCUUGAUGUACGGCCAGGAGAGGCUUUGGCUGUGAACUUUCCCCUGCAUCUGCAUCACACAGCUGAUGAGAGUGUUGAUGUGAACAAUCCGAGGGAUGAACUUCUGAGAAUGGUGAAGUCACUUGGUCCCAAGGUGACCACAUUGGUGGAGCAGGAAUCCAACACAAACACAACGCCUUUCUACAACAGGUUCUUAGAAACAUUGGACUACUACCUGGCCAUGUUCGAGUCAAUUGAUGUUACGCUCCCAAGAAAUAGCAAGGAGCGGAUUAACGUGGAGCAGCAUUGCUUGGCGAGGGACAUCGUGAACGUCAUUGCUUGUGAAGGGAAGGAAAGGAUAGAGCGACACGAGCUGUUGGGAAAGUGGAAAUCAAGGUUGACAAUGGCUGGAUUUCGACAAUAUCCAUUGAGCUCGUACGUGAAUUCUGUGAUCAGAAGCCUGCUUAGGUACUAUUCAGAGCACUAUACACUCGUGGAGAAGGAUGGGGCUAUGUUGUUGGGGUGGAAACACAGAAAUUUGAUAUCUGCCUCGGCCUGGUAUUGAUGAACUGAUGGUUGGAGGCGGUAACGGGGUGAACUAAGCGGAGCAAAGGGGAAGCGACCAAAGAUUUGAGUGUAACAUCCUCAAAAAUUUAAACUUGAUUAAUUAAGCCUAAUUAAAGUAAUUAAGCUUAUUACUAAGGUGUGUGGCCAGAUAGUUCUAACGGGCAUUUUGGUUGUAAUUCUAGCCCUAAGUAUGGGCUUGAAGUAAAGUUAGGUUACCCAGAUAUGAAAGAGAAAAAAAAUAUGAAGGGCAAGGUUUUGUGCCACAUGUCACAGCUUCUGGAUGAUCUUCUAUGAAACAUCUUGUGAAUUUGAGAGAAAAGGAAGAGAAAUAAAGAGAAACACAAGGGAGUUCUACUAGGGCUCAAGGAAUUUGGAUAUUGGGAGCAUAUUGAAGCUAGAAAACACUCAAGUAAUAGCAAGAGGCAGCAGUGGCCAUUGCCACCAACAGGAGCACAGGCAUUCCAACUGAAUUUUCCAUCUUGUGCAAUAAUGCAGCCCGGCAAUCCAAAUCCAAUUGACUUGGUCCCUUAACAAUAAUAUAUUACUUUUGUUCGAGAUAUCAACCACUUAACCCAGCUGCUUAAUUUACUAUUCACUAAUCUGCAGGAAUUCAUUAGGCGGUGCUGCUUAAUAUUCAGUUGUUGUUACUUAUUCGGGUUUGAAAGGCCUAACAUGGUCGGACCCAUUUCUCAUUAUGUCUUUUGGAAGGCCUCACAUUGUUUGGAUCUAAUUGUUGUCAACCCAUGGUAGUGUUUUAACCUGGGCCAAAUGCUGUGCAUGGAUUAAUUGUCAUUGGACGGUUGGAUUUACACCUUAGCUUGCUCGCAUGGCUUUCAAUCUUCAUCUUGUCAUCCGCCUCUGUAGUUUGUGGACACUCUCCAGAACCACUCUAGGGAUGCUCAGUCCAAUAAGACCUGUUUUGUAUCUCGGGACUAAGU